rnacentral:rRNA from 1 species
GACGAACGCUGGCGGCGUGCCUAAUACAUGCAAGUAGAACGCUGAAGCGAGGAUCUUGCUCUUCUUGGAUGAGUUGCGAACGGGUGAGUAACGCGUAGGUAACCUGCCUUGUAGCGGGGGAUAACUAUUGGAAACGAUAGCUAAUACCGCAUAACAAUGGAUUACACAUGUCAUUUAUUUGAAAGGGGCAAUUGCUCCACUACAAGAUGGACCUGCGUUGUAUUAGCUAGUAGGUGAGGUAAUGGCUCACCUAGGCGACGAUACAUAGCCGACCUGAGAGGGUGAUCGGCCACACUGGGACUGAGACACGGCCCAGACGCCUACGGGAGGCAGCAGUAGGGAAUCUUCGGCAAUGGGGGCAACCCUGACCGAGAAACGCCGAGUGAGGGAAGAAGGUUUUCGGAUCGUAAAGCUCUGUUGUAAGUCAAGAACGGGUGUGAGAGUGGAAAGUUCACACUGUGACGGUAGCUUACCAGAAAGGGACGGCUAACUACGUG